rnacentral:lncRNA from 1 species
AAGAGAAAAAAAAAAAAAAAAAAAAAAAAAUCAUUCUGAAAACAGCAGAAUCAAGACGGAGGUUUCAGCACUGGGCCCAGCAAUGCACACAAAGAAAUGUCGAAAUAAAGGUAUCUGAAGACAAGAGUGCCUGAAUGGGAAAGACGGAUCAUUUUUACUGAGUUGGCGGAUUGGGCAACAUAGCUAAGCGUUCUUAAGAGGGGCUCGGAGGGCGCGGGAGAGGCAAGGAGAAAAGUUUUUGUCAGCAGCAUCCCGUCGGGGGCGUCUCCACCCCCACCCUCACCCCACCGGUCCGCCAUCAUCCUGCGCAAGCGCGGAGCUGGCUCCGCCUGCGGCCCCGCCUGUGGCCUCUCCCGCCCUUCUCGGCGCCCGGCUUCUGACCUCGACCUUGGCUCUUUUUCAGAGUAGUCUCCCCUCACCAGCCCACCCGAAGGAGGUUACACCUCUCGGGAUACGAAAAUAAACGAGUUUUUCUUUCGGGUUUGAGAAGCUCCAACGUGGCGGAGAGCCUGGAGCCGGAAGCGGAAGUGACGUCACAAACAGGGCCUUUCUCUUCCCCCCCCUCCUUUUUUUUUUUCUUCUCUGAUCCCGGAGGCGUUCUCGUCGGUGGUCGGUUUCUUACCCUGGCAUCGAAUAGACUUGCCGCCAUUGAUUGGCAUCACAUUGACGAGGUCCAUUCUAGAACCCCGCGAUUCUGGCUCCUUCAGCCGAACAUUGACUGAAAGGUGGGUGACGAGAGCCAUUUCCUCUUUAAUUUUUUUUUUUUUUUUUUGGUUUUGUGUGUGUGUGUGUGUGUGUGUGUGUGUGUAUGUGUAAACAAAUAUUUCAUCCUAAAAUUUCGCACUCUUGGGCCAUCCUUUAUUCGCCUGAGAUACUUUGCAUUCUGGUAGAAGAUAACUUUUUUACAGUCUUCUGCGGGGUGCAUUUA